rnacentral:snoRNA from 1 species
UGGAAAAAAACAACACAGUGGGUAAGUUAGGAGAAGGUGACUUUUUCUCUUUUUCUGAAGGUUGGAGCUCUGCCAUUAUAUUAAGAAGUUGGUUUCAGACUACAAUUCAAGGAUAUUACAUGGAACAAAAAGCAACUGAGCUUUCAC